GUUUGUGUAGAUUAAGUUAAAAUUGUAAGGCUGUUAACUUUAAGAUAAAUUUUGUUCGCAGACG
rnacentral:tRNA from 1 species